rnacentral:rRNA from 1 species
AUUGAACGCUGGCGGCAAGCCUAACACAUGCAAGUCGAACGACUGGCGGACGGGUGAGUAAUGUCUGGGAAACUGCCUGAUGGAGGGGGAUAACUACUGGAAACGGUAGCUAAUACCGCAUACCCUCGGAUAUGCCCAGAUGGGAUUCGAUUGGAGGUGGGGUAAAGGCUCACCAAGGCGAAGAUCCCUAGCUGGUCUGAGAGGAUGACCAGCCACCCUGGAACUGUGACACGGUCCAGACGCCGACGGGAGGCAGCAUGGGGGAAUAUUGCACAAUGGGCGCAAGCCUGAUGCAGCCAUGCCGCGUGUAUGAAGAAGGCCUUCGGUGUGUAAAGUACUUUCAGCGGGGAGGCGUUACCCGCAGAAGAAGCACCGGCUAACUCCGUGCCAGCAGCCGCGGUAAUUC